rnacentral:tRNA from 1 species
GCGGGUGUGGCGGAAUUGGUAGACGCGCCAGACUUAGGAUCUGGUGCCGCAAGGCGUGGGGGUUCGAGUCCCUUCACCCGCA